GGUGCCACCCCCGACCCCACGGGGGAAGCGGAGGACAUUGGGGUGACAGAAGGGGACGAGGAGGGGACGAAGCCUGAAGACCCCGACGCCGCGGGGCCGCCCCGUGCCCCCGAUGACGUCCCCGCCGGUGCCAACGAUGACGUCAGCAGCGAUGACGUCACCACGGGUGCCUCUGACGUCACCGCGGUGCCCCCCCACCUCCGGCUGCGCCCCACGUGCGGCCGUUCCUGACCCCAAACGGGACGCCUUCCGAAAAUAAACGUGUGGGGUUAUUAUGG